AGCGAACGCUGGCGGCAGGCCUAACACAUGCAAGUCGAACGAACCUUUCGGGGUUAGUGGCGGACGGGUGAGUAACACGUGGGAACGUGCCUUUAGGUUCGGAAUAACUCAGGGAAACUUGUGCUAAUACCGAAUGUGCCCUUCGGGGGAAAGAUUUAUCGCCUUUAGAGCGGCCCGCGUCUGAUUAGCUAGUUGGUUGAGGUAAUGGCUCACCAAGGCGACGAUCAGUAGCUGGUCUGAGAUGAUGAUCAGCCACAUUGGGACUGAGACACGGCCCAAACUCCUACGGGAGGCAGCAGUGGGGAAUCUUGCGCAAUGGGCGAAAGCCUGACGCAGCCAUGCCGCGUGAAUGAUGAAGGUCUUAGGAUUGUAAAAUUCUUUCACCGGGGACGAUAAUGACGGUACCCGGAGAAGAAGCCCCGGCUAACUUCGUG
rnacentral:rRNA from 1 species